UACGUAGGGGGCGAGCGUUGUCCGGAAUCAUUGGGCGUAAAGCGCGUGUAGGCGGCCCGGUAAGUCCGCUGUGAAAGUCCAGGGCUCAACCCUGGGAUGCCGGUGGAUACUGUCGGGCUGGAGUCCGGAAGAGGCGAGUGGAAUUCCUGGUGUAGCGGUGAAAUGCGCAGAUAUCAGGAGGAACACCAAUGGCGAAGGCAGCUCGCUGGGACGUGACUGACGCUGAGACGCGAAAGCGUGGGGAGCAAACAGG
rnacentral:rRNA from 1 species